AGAGUGAACGCUGGCGGUAGGCCUAACACAUGCAAGUCGAACGGCAGCACAGUGGUAGCAAUACCAUGGGUGGCGAGUGGCGGACGGGUGAGGAAUACAUCGGAAUCUACCUUUUCGUGGGGGAUAACGUAGGGAAACUUACGCUAAUACCGCAUACGCCCUUCGGGGGAAAGCCGGGGAUCGCAAGACCUGGCGCGGAUAGAUGAGCCGAUGUCGGAUUAGCUAGUUGGUGAGGUAAUGGCUCACCAAGGCGACGAUCCGUAGCUGGUCUGAGAGGAUGAUCAGCCACACUGGAACUGAGACACGGUCCAGACUCCUACGGGAGGCAGCGAGGUGGGGAAUAGUUAGGAACGUAAGUGGGAACGGAAAAGCCGUAGA
rnacentral:rRNA from 1 species